ensembl:lncRNA
UUUUGAGCCGGGUCGUAACACUGAAGAUUACAAAGAUCAACAUUAAGACCAAGAUGAAUAGCAGAGUGUGGGUGAGAAGAGGUUUCAUCCUAAAAUGGAAAACCAGGUUGGCUAAAAUGGCUGGUGCCACCAAGGCAAAGACUAGUGCACUGCCGGGAAGCUUGCCUCAGGUAUGCUUUUAUCCACACCUGACUAGGUGUGGCCAAUUAGCACCAGCUGAAAACACUGAGACGAUUAGAAGCUGCAGAGGGACGUAACAUUCAGUAUUGAUAUUUGUAAAUGUAAACUAUGAGGAUUUAUUUAUUUUUAAUUCUUUUCUUUUUUUUUCUUUUUUUCCCUCUUUUUUUCUUUUUCCAAAUAAAUGUCCCGAUUGAGUAAUGAAACUAACCCAAAGGAGAAUUCUAACAAUAUUAGACAGGCCAUUCAAUAUGCUUUAUCGUGGACAACUCGUGGCUAAAAACCCACACACACACACACACACAAACCUCUAAUCAAACAUGAAAACGGAUAAUCCAGCUGAAGCUUCAGACAGCCGUCAGACAGUGAAACACUGCCAUCUGCUGGACUCGAAUAACAAAGACGCUGCUUUGACGGGUGAGGGAGUUUCAACAAGUCUGCAACGACUCAAGCAUCAAACUACAGAACUAUUCUAGCGGACAUGGUGCUCUAAUGACUGCUUCAUUAACGCAGGUCAGAAAGGAUCAAACAUAUCAAUAAAUUAUAAAACACAAAACGUCUCUUAUUGCCCAGGGCUCAGGAAGUGAGUGUGUUCCUUAUAGCCUAUUAAACCUUAGCAGGUUAUUUUGAUGUGUUACAGAUGAAACAGCUAUCCAGUAACAUUCAGCUACAAAAACGCUUUUUUAUAAUUACUUUUUUACAGCUUCGCACUUUUACACAAGUUUUAUCAUCAGUGUCACAAUGGCUGCUGCUAAAAUUGAGUACAAGAUAUUUGUUGGCCUGAUUAAAAGGUCUUGAUGCGUGCUCAAUCAUCAGGGAAGUAAAUCUCCAAAAGUUGAUUCUGUUCUUCUGGACGUAGCGUUUUCAGUCAGAGAAACCAGCCGACUGAAGGAACAAUGGGCUGGGAGGUCAGUUCCUUAAUCAUGAUUAUGCAAAUUCUCAUGACCAUUGAUCAACAACCACUGAUCAAUGGUCCUGAGUACCAUUCACAGAGAGUUGGAGAACGGCUGCAAUCACAGCAUUGUAAGAUGGUGACAGAUGUACCCUUAGGCCCCCUCCUUGAUUCAGAGAGGGUCUUUCCCUUUUCACGUAAAUGGCCUCCUUGACUCCGCCCUCAAACCAGCGUUCAUUGCAGUUAUUGUUGACAAUCACAUUGUGUCGUGUAACCAUCCAGCUCACAUAUUCAAUGUAAAUGAUUUGUUGAACUGAAGACAUGAUGAAUGUUCCUGCAUUAAAACACAUCCAGCCUAGUGUUCUCACUCUCCC